rnacentral:rRNA from 1 species
GACGAACGCUGGCGGCGUGCUUAACACAUGCAAGUCGAAUGGAAAGGCCCUGCUUUUGUGGGGUGCUCGAGUGGCGAACGGGUGAGUAACACGUGAGUAACCUGCCCUUGACUUUGGGAUAACUUCAGGAAACUGGGGCUAAUACCGGAUAGGAGCUCCUGCUGCAUGGUGGGGGUUGGAAAGUUUCGGCGGUUGGGGAUGGACUCGCGGCUUAUCAGCUUGUUGGUGGGGUAGUGGCUUACCAAGGCUUUGACGGGUAGCCGGCCUGAGAGGGUGACCGGCCACAUGGGGACUGAGAUACGGCCCAGACUCCUACGGGAGGCAGCAGUGGGGAAUAUUGCACAAUGGGCGGAAGCCUGAUGCAGCAACGCCGCGUGCGGGAGGACGGCCUUCGGGUUGUAAACCGCUUUCGCCUGUGACGAAGCGUGAGUGACGGUAAUGGGGAAAGAAGCACCGGCUAACUACGU